UACGUAGGUGGCAAGCGUUGUCCGGAAUUAUUGGGCGUAAAGCGCGCGCAGGCGGUCCUUUAAGUCUGAUGUGAAAGCCCACGGCUCAACCGUGGAGGGUCAUUGGAAACUGGGGGACUUGAGUGCAGGAGAGAAGAGUGGAAUUCCAGGUGUAGCGGUGAAAUGCGUAGAUAUCUGGAGGAACACCGGUGGCGAAGGCGGCAUCCUGGACCGGCAUUGACGCGUGAGGCGCGAAAGCCAGGGGAGCAAACGGG
rnacentral:rRNA from 1 species